GCCUUUUCUAGGGCAGCACCCGCGGCAUAUGGAGGUGGUUCCCAGGCUAGGGGUCUAAUCAGAGCUGUAAACACCAGUCUACACUACAGCCACAGCAACGCAGGAUCUGAGCCACGUCUUCGACCCACACCACAGCUCACGGCAACGCCAGAUCCUUAACCCACUGAGCGAGGCCGGGGAUGGAACCUACGUCCUCAUGGAUACUAGUCAGACUCAUUUCCACUGAGCCAGAACGGGAACUCUUUAGUUUUCUGUCUUAGUCUUCCCAGCUUUGGGCCACAUGAAUUUUUUUCAUAGAGACCUUCCUCAUGGCUGGUCCGGGUGGGGCCGGCCUGAGAAGGUUAUGGAAUGAGGGUCUUCCAUGCACCCAUCCUCCCGGCUCCACAGAAACAGCCCUCCGCUGGGAGGGGCCACCUCCCUGCUGUGUGACCUUGGUUAAAUGGCUUAAGCUCUCUGAGCCUCAGUGUCCUCAGCUAUUAAACGAGGAAGGGAUGUGAAUGGGUGCUUUCUAGAACUCUAAACUCCCUCUUUAACUACAUCAAUAUUUGGUAAUAACCUAUCAGAUAAGAAGAAUCUGAAAAAGAAUACGUAUAUACACACACAUAUAUACGUAUAACUGAAUCACUUUUGCUGUACACCUGAAACUAACACAACAUUGUAAAUUAACUGUACUUCAAUUAAAAAAUAAAAUAAAAUAAUGAACUCCCUCUUCAGGUUAUGAUAGUCAAGAAAGGCAUUUCAGAGGCAGAGAUCACUUUUGACCAGAUACUGGUUGGGUAGAAUCCAGCGAACAGCCGGAAGAUUUAGGAGUUACUGCGCUCCUGCUGCAGUUAGAACAGAACACUUAGCAUGAAUUAAAUGAAGUAAUGAAUAUGUCACAUAUAUUUAAUACAUAUAUUUACAUACAAAGCACAUGGAGCAUGCCUGGCACAGAGAAAGCGCUUGAUAAAGUCACGUAUUGUUUUAUAAUCAUUGUCCUCACCACACUACUAAGUACGGAUCGUUCCCAUUUUACAGCUGACAUCAGUUUAUAGGCAACUGAUGUUCAGGGUUUGAGCCAUCUGGUCAGAGUGGCCUAGUUUACAACCAGCAAAGCCAAGAGGUGGACCCAAGUCUCUGAGACGCAAGAGAGCUGACUUUUCAUCUCUAAGGUACACAAGAGGAAAGAAAGUCCCUUUGGCUAAGGCUGCAAGGCUUUACCUGGAAAUGACCCUUGUUAAUGAGAAUGCUAUAACAUGUGCAGUACUUUUAAAUAUGUUAUUUCUUUAAUCUUUGUGCACUUCUGCCAACUAUGGAGGUAGAACUAUAUCUUUUUAUUUUUGCUUUUAGGGCUGCACUCAUGGCAUGUAGAAGUUCCCAGGCUAGGGAUCGAAUCGGAGCUACAGCUGCCAGCCUACACCACAACCAGAGCAACUUGGGAUCCAAGCCAUGUCUGCGACCCACACCACAGCUCAUGGCAAUGCCAGAUCCUUAACCCACCGAGCAAGGCCAGGGAUGGAACCAGCAUCCUCAUGGAUCCUAGUCGGGUU
rnacentral:lncRNA from 1 species